rnacentral:rRNA from 1 species
UAAGUUACUAAGGGCUUAUGGUGGAUGCCUUGGGACUGGGUGACGAUGAAGGUCGUGCAAAUCUGCGAAAAGUUACGGGGAGCUGAUAAGAAGCAUUUAAUCCGUAAAUUACCGAAUGGGGAAACCUACUUAAUAGAGAUAUUAAGUGCUAUUAACUGAAUUCAUAGGUUAAUAUCGUAAUACCUGGUGAAGUGAAACAUCUCAGUAGCCAGAGGAAAAGAAAACAAAGUGAUUCCGUCAGUAGCGGCGAGCGAAAGCGGAAGAGACUAAACCUAGUUUAGACUAGGGGUUGUAGGACUAUAAUGUGGUAGUUAUUAUUGAUAGUGGAAGUUGCUGGAAAGCAACACGAUAUAGGGUGAUAGUCCCGUACACGAAAUUAAUAAUACACCUAGUAGUAUCCUGAGUAUGACGGGACACGUGUAAUCUUGUCAGAAGCCACCCGGACCAUCGGGUAAGUCUAAAUACAAGCCAGUCACCGAUAGCGUAUAGUACCGCGAGGGAAAGGUGAAAAGAACCCAGAGAUGGGAGUGAAAUAGAAUCUGAAACCAUAUGCCUACAACGAGUUAGAGCACAUUAAUGUGUGAUAGCGUGCGUUUUGAAGUAUGAGCCGGAGAGUUAUUGCUGCAUGCAAGGUUAAACUGUAGAGGUGGAGCCGUAGGGAAACCGAAUCUUAAUAGGGUGUUUAGUAUGUGACAAUAGACCCGAAACGGGUUGAUCUAGACAUGGGCAGGUUGAAGUUAAAGUAACAUUUAAUGGAGGACCGAACCCACUUUCGUUGAAACGACAGGGGAUGACCUGUGUCUAGUGGUGAAAUUCCAAUCGAAAUCCGUGAUAGCUGGUUCUCGUCGAUAUAGUUUUAGGACUAGCGUUGGAUUAUGAAUGUAUGGAGGUAAAGCGCUGACUGACUGAUGGCCCUGUCUCAGGGUACUGAUUUCAAUUAAACUCUGAAUGCCGUACAUUUUACUCCAGCAGUCAGACUGUGGGGGAUAAGCUUCAUAGUCAUGAGGGAAAGAGCCCAGAUCGUUAACUAAGGUCCCUAAAAUAUGCUAAGUGGAAAAGGAUGUUGAAUUUCUUAAACAUCAAGGAUGUUGGCUUAGAAGCAGCCAUCGUUUAAAGAAUGCGUAACAGCUCACUUGUCGAGAAAUUCUGCGCCGAAGAUUCAACGGGGCUUAAGCAUAUUACCGAAGUUACGGGAUUAUUUAUAAUCGGUAGACGAGCGUUGUAUAUAGGUUGAAGGUAGAGUGUGAACACUACUGGACAAUAUACAAGUGAGAAUUCCGGCGUGAGUAACGUAUGAGAGUGAGAAUCUCUCAAGCCGAAUUGACUAAGGUUUCCAGGACAAGGGUCGUCCUUCCUGGGUUAGUCGGGACCUAAGGCGAGGCCGAAAGGCGUAGUCGAUGGAAAGUAAGUUAAUAUUCUUACACCAAGUGGUUGAAUGAUGGAGUAACGGAGAAGGUUAAUAUGGGCCGCUUAUUGGAUUGCGGUGAAAGCAUUUAGUCUGAGAAAUGAUUAAAUUCAUUUCUCAUCCCAAAGGACAAGGUGUGACUACAAGUGAACGGUAACAAGUAAUAAAGCCAUAGAUAUCACGCUUCCGAGAAAACCUCCUAGUGUUAAUCAAUCAUUUGCCCGUACUGAGAACGAACACACGUGGUCAAGGAGAGUAUCCUAAGGCUAGCGAGUUAACUAUUGUUAAGGAACUCUGCAAAUUUACCCUGUAAGUUAGCGAUAAAGGGAGCUUACACAAGUAAGCCGCAGUGAAUAGCGAGGGGGGACUGUUUACCAAAAACACAGCUUUAUGCAAAGUCGUAAGACGAUAUAUAUGAGGUGACACCUGCCCAGUGCUGGAAGGUUAAGGAAGUGAGUUAGCAGCAAUGCAAAGCUUGUGACCAAAGCCCCAGUGAACGGCGGCCGUAACUAUAACGGUCCUAAGGUAGCAAAAUUCCUUGUCGGGCAAAUUCCGUCCCGCUUGAAUGGUGUAACCAUCUCUUGACUGUCUCGACAAUAGACUCGGUGAAAUCCUGGUUGGGGUGAAGACGCCCCAUAGGCGUGAUUGGACGGAAAGACCCCAUGAAGCUUUACUGUAGCUUGAUAUUGAAAAAAUAUACUGUUUUUAGAGCAUAGGUGGGAGACUAUGAAAUAUAGACGCUAGUUUAUAUGGAGUCACCAUUGUAAUACCACCAUAAUGGUAUCUUUUUUCUAACUUCCAACUGUAUAUCCAGUUAAAGGACAGUGUUAGGUGGGCAGUUUGACUGGGGCGGUCGCCUCCCAAAAAGUAACGGAGGCGCGCAACGGUACACUCAGCAUGUUUGGAAAUCAUGUAACGAGCGUAAUGGUAUAAGUGUGCUUGACUGUGAGACUUACACGUCGAACAGGUAAGAAAUUAGGUCAUAGUGAUCCGGUGGCUCAAAAUGGAAUGGCCAUCGCUCAACGGACAAAAGCUACUCUGGGGAUAACAGGCUGAUACUGACCAAGAGUUCAUAUCGACGUCAGUGUUUGGCACCUCGAUGUCGACUCAUCUUAUCCUGGGGCUGAAGCAGGUUCCAAGGGUUCGGCUGUUCGCCGAUUAAAAAGAUACGUGAGUUGGGUUCAAACCGUCGUGAGACAGGUUGGUCCCUAUCUGUCAUGCCCGUAGGAAGAUUGAGAAGAGCUGCUCCUAGUACGAGAGGAUCGGAGUGGAGACACCACUAAUGUUUCAGUUGUUUCGCCAGAAGCAUCGCUGGGUAGUUACGUGUCGAAAGGAUAAGCGCUGAAAGCAUAUAAGCGUGAAGCCUCCUUCAAGAUUAAUCUUCCCCACCCACAAGGGUGAUAAGAAUCGUCAUAGACUAUGACGUUGAUAGGCUAUAGGUGUAAGCAUAGUGAUAUGUUUAGCUGAAUAGUACUAAUCAUUCGAAAGACUUA